GAUCCGUGCGUCUAGGGUGUGUUCAUAUAGUGUUGUCGCGUGAUGUUUACCCAAAGAAAACUGUAAUGAGACAUUCACAGAAAGGACGUUACUAAGGAUGGUACGAUACUAAGCUUACAAAUCAUGAACGAGAAGCCCCCGUACCUUACUAAGAAAGUGUGUAGUGUACAUGGUGGCAGCAAGUCAAGGAAUAUUUUACGGAAUUGGUUAAAAAAAUUUGUUUCAAAGGCCCAGUCAAAUCUUUACAAGUUUACUCGUAGAGCAACUUACGCUGUUCCUACGUGACACAAGAUACCCCUCAGCAGCUUUACAAGGUCAGUCAAAUAAGUGUCACAGCGACAAUCCCUUGGGAAAUAAAGACGUAGUUGGUUGACAGGUGUUGACCACUAAGAAAGAU